rnacentral:lncRNA from 1 species
GGGUGCAGAACACCAAUGCCUCUCUCAGGAGUGUUGUGUGAGUUUAAGUAUUACCUGUUUAGCAUUACUCUUCUGUUGAUAUAUCACGUUUACAUUUUAACCUCAUUGGCUGCAGCACUGUGUUUUAAUCUCAUUUUCACUGGUAACGUUCGUCCUAUCAAAACCUUGGAAGGACUAUUUCUUUCAAGAAGACUUCAUAGUUUUGUGGACUAGAGUGUGUUUUCUGGUUGUAGCUCUACAACUUUAUAUGUGGCUUUAUUUAAGAGGUUGUUUUGUUUUAUUUUUUCUAACAUAUAUUUGAGUAUAUCAAACAGUCCCAACUGGUUUCCCUCAGUUAUGCAGCAUUCUAUCAGUCUAUAACUCAUGCAAACUUUGUCGUGAUUGAUCAUAUCUUCUUACAAGGAAUUGAAAAAUUGUUUCUUGGUAGUGGCUCAGACUGUGGGGAAUUCGUAGAGUCAUAGAAUGGCUUGGGUUUGAAGGGACCUCAAGAAUCAUCAAGGUCCAAGCUCCCUGCCACAGGCUGCUAUCCUCCAUAUCUAAUACUAGACCAGGCUGCCCAGGGCCCCAUCCAACCUGGCCUUGAACACCUCCAGGGAUGGGGCAUCCACAACCUCUCUGGGCAGCUGUUCCAGCACCUCACUGCUCUCUGUGAAGAACUUCCCCCUGACAUCCAACCUAAAUCUUCUCUCCUUCAACUUAAAACCAUUCCCCCUUGUCCUGCUAUUAUCUACCCUUGCAAAGAGUUGACUCCCCUCCUGUUUAUAGGCUCCCUUUAGGUACUGGAAGGCUGCAAUUCCUCAUAAAUCCAAGUUAUGUUGUGAUGCAUUCUUCUUGAAGGCUGUUUAGUUUGUCCCAAGGUGUCCCUUAACCAAUUCUUAACCUGUUUAAUUGCUGCUAGUUUGUAAUCAGACUGCACCAAGUGCCAUAAAAGUUUAAGCAUGCAUACUGAUGCUCAUAACAUAUUUUGUUACUAUUUUGCUCAGAAUUUGCAUCAUGUUAACCUACAGCUAUAAACACUAUCUCACUUGCUUUUUGGAGCAUGGUUCUAAUGUUAGCAUUCUGGAAUUUCCCUGCAAUUUUCAGAAUGAUUAAAAAUUCAUGUUGAUGGAGUAGCCAUCUCAGAUACUUCUGUGAGACCCCUUCUUUGUGGUGACCUUUCUUGGUCCUGCUGAACAAAAAGCGUUGCAAAGUAACGUUGUUUUAGCAUUGCUUCUGUUACAGGCUGAAGAAGUAAUUCAUCAUUCUCAUGAGACACAAGAAAGUCAUCUCAUUUCUCUCCAAAUGCAGAAUUGCUUCCUGAAUGCAUCAGCCCUUUCUGCACUAUUAGUGUGAUUAGAUUCCCUGUUCAGUAGCACACCUUUGUGAGGGCGAAGAUGUCUUUUGUUCUUACAAAGUCCCCCCCACCCCCCUUCUGUUUUUCCCUUCUGCCAAGAGGUAUUUCCAGCUUCACCCAUCAAUUUUUACACUUACUGAUACAAGAAAUGUUUAAUCUGUUCUCUUAAAACUUUUUUUUCUUGUUUUGCGUAGUUUCUUAUUCCUAAUAGCAGCAUUGAUUGAAAUCUGUUGCCAAAUUACAGUAGUUAUGACAAUACCUUCUAGGUAUUACAUGCUGUUUGAACAUGACUGUGGGAUCUUUUUUUCUAUGUAUGAUGACACAAGUAUCCAAUCCAUUGUACUGUGGGGCAAAGUCGGCGUUUGCUUUUAAUAUGACACGUUUCAAAGCUUACAUAAAAGAAGCUAAGCUAUUUAUUUAUUACCUCCCUACUUUUUUUUUUUUUUCAUAGCCAGUACAAAGGAUAGGACAUUGGUUUCAGAUGUAGCAAAAUACAACGUGUAUUUGGAAAUGUGAGGGGGAGGUAUAGAGGAAUAAAGAAUAACAGCAUGAAUCUGAUAGUAACCACAGUAGCAUAGUUAGGUUAUAAACCUGUUGGAGCUUUUGGGGGGUCAGGUCCACAGAAAUUGUCCCCCAGAGCUAAUUUGAGGUAAGACACUAGAAGGGGAUGAAACAAGGACAGAAUUGGGGAGGGUAAUAAAAGUUACAAGAAGAAUGUUGUAUUUUAGAGGCUAAGAGCUGCUGCUUGAUUAAAAUGAACUUGUUUGUGUAUUUUGUAUCCACACAUCAGUUACAACAAGCUUUCUUGGGGAAAUGGAUACAUUAUGUUCUUUACCACUUGGCCAGCGAGGACUUUCCCAAAGCAGAGCUUCCAACACAUCGGGCUUCUGCAGGAAGCAGAAGUGGUUGGGACUCCUAUUCCUCAGUGGGACUCCAUUUAGUGAUGGGGAGGGUCUGCCAGCUGUAUCAACAACACCAAGAGCAUGAGUGUGAUCAAACUGCUGCCCCAUCUCUCAGGCCUUCAACGCUGUUGGAAAAUAGCUGUAUUAAUACAUUUUAAUGUAAAAGACAAAACAGAUAAAGCUGCAGUAAGAAGUGAGUUGAAGGUGCAACAAAGAACAGAAACCACGUUUGGGCAUAUUAGAAUAAGUGGUUAAUAAAGAAGUUAUUCCUGUACUCCAGCAUGUUAUUAUCUUAGGGAAAUUCAUAAUUCCCUAUUUUCAGAAUUAUCCUGAGUAUUUUCAGUUGGUUGUGACUAUUUUUGAUUUCCUGGAAUUGGAAGCAACAAAGUUGAAUUCCUUUCUGUGUUAUUAUAUGGGUGUAGUUUACUGAUCUUUAUUGAUUGCUGUUACCAGAAAGUUUAUCCAGUGAGCACUUUCUAAACACAUCUCAGAGUGAUAACACUGUUUUGUUGAAUUGAAUCAGCUUCAGCAAUCCAUACUUCACUUCCUGGAUAAAAGUGGUAAAUCUCAGUUUUCUAAGUGGUUUCCUCAAUAUCAUGCCAGUAAGAAUCACAGAAUCGUAGAGUGGCCUGGGUCGAAAAGGACCACAAUGAUAGUUUAGUUUCAACCCCCCUGCUAUGUGCAGGGUCACCAACCACCAGACCAGGUUGGAUGGGGCCCUGGGCAGCCUGGUCUAGUAUUAGAUAUGGAGUUUGGUGGCCCUGCCUGUGGUAGGUGUGUUGGAGCUUCGUGAUCCUUGAGGUCCCUUCCAACCCAAGGCAUUCUAUGAUAUGAUUCUAUGAAAAGUAGCUCCAAAAUCUCUUCCGAAGAAUUUAAGUUUCGGGUCAGAUUAUGGAAUAGAAAGGCUAUUGGCUGUGUUCUGAAAUUUUAGUGGGUGCUGCUUUUUCUUUCUCUUCUACUAUUAUUGUAAUAUAGCAAUAGCUAUACUCCCCAGUGGAUGCAGGAUUGCAUCUCUAACCAAGAUGGGGCUAAUGUACGUAGGAAACCUACAUACGUUUAUGGUCUAUCUUGUGUAACUGAACAUCUUUUGUUUCAUCUAACAAAAUAAUCAGAAUUGUAGUAGAUAUUUCCUACUGAGAGGACUAAACCUCAUGCUUGAAGUCCUGGAAGCAAAUGCUGCAGUUGAUUUAACAUAUGCCACCAUUUUUUAUUGUUACCAGACAAUAAAAAAAGAUUGUUAAAACUUUCAAGGAAAAAUAUAACAAAGCCAACAACUGGACUUUCCAGUGAGAAAUAGCAAGAGAAGGAAGGUUGUAUAUUUUAAGACUCUCUCUUCUGUUUGCGUACAGUUAAGAUCAAAAAAUAUCUCCAUCAUAUAGGGCCAGGAUUGAACAUAGCCAAAAUUGUCUUCUAAAAUGUGUUUUAUCUCUCCUGUUUUUGAAUAAGUUUACACUGUCACUCAUCAGCAUUAGAUUUCUUGUUUGACAUAACUAACAGAUUUAAUCUGGAAGUACGAAAAUAGUUUUUCUAUUUGAAAAAUAUAGGAAAGCCAAUGAAGUUUAAUCUUACAAUUAAAAUCCACAGGUUCUUUUUUUUUUUUCUUUUUCUUUUCAAUUUUUAAUGUAGUUGCAGAGAAACAAGUGCAAUUCAUUACCUGAUUACUAGGUAGAAGGAGCCAAAGGACACCUUUUCCCCACAUAUUAGCCUCAACCUUAGAGGGAUUGAUGUAUUUUCAUUACAACACACAGACUCUUUUCUGAUUCUUAUACAAAUAGUCUUUAGUGCUUACUAUAAUCAAGUCAGAAAUGCAAAUUGGGAAUUACAGCUGCUUAGUCUAAUUUUAAAUGUAUCUGUUAUCUCUGUAAUCUACAUUUCCAGUGCUCGGAUGCUGGGCAGAAAUACUUCUAAGAAAAAUAAAUUGCCAGGAAGUCCAUGAAUGAAGAAGGAUGAGGCUGUGCAGGAGUAGAAUAGGAAUAAAUAGAUUCAAACAAAUGUUCUCCAGGAGUACUUUGCCCCAGAAAGAAGUGUGCAGAGCUGUCACUUGUGCUCAGGUGGGCUGCUCAUGCUUACAGGGAAAUUCAAGCCUAUCUUAUUCAACUGAGAAACCGUUUUGGACUUUCACACUUACUAAAUAUUGCUUCUGGGUCACAUCUGAUAUCUAGGAAUAGGAACAUUUUCAAGGGAAAAAAAAUUAAGAGGAAGAACUAUUGCUAUCUUAUGGUUUCAUUUAUUACUUGUAUGACUUAGGAAGAAUUCAGUGUGUGAUUAAGGCAGACAAUGUACUGAAUGCAAGGAUAUUUUAAUCUGUUCUUGCACUCUAAAAAGUUUCUAGGUGACUUGUACCCUCGAACAAACGUUUCUUUUAUACUCAAAUUCAAGCUCUUGCAUUCAGGCUUGUGUGCUGGGAAUCCUGGGCCACUGCACGUGUAGGCACCAGGAUGCUUCCUGGGUGCUAAAGAGCAGUAAGGACACAAGUCCUGAGUGGGAAUGUCUUCUACAUGUGCUCUGUUCACAUGAAAACAGAACCAAAGUGUAUAUAAGCCCUAACAUCCCUUGCCUGUUUUCCCCACCUUCUAAAAUGCAUCUCUAAAGUUCUUUACAGAGAGAGGGGCAAGGUGCUGGAACAGGCUGCCCAGAGAGGUUGUGGAUGCCCCAUCCCUGGAGGUGUUCAAGGCAGGUUGGAUGGGGUCCUGGGCAGCCUGGUCUGGUAUUAAAUGUGGAGGUUGGUGGCCCUGCCGGUGGC